rnacentral:rRNA from 1 species
ACAGCAGUAGCCGCGGUAAAACGUAGGGUGCGAGCGUUAAUCGGAAUUACUGGGCGUAAAGCGUGCGCAGGCGGUUCGUUAAGACAGAUGUGAAAUCCCCGGGCUUAACCUGGGAACUGCAUUUGUGACUGGCGAGCUAGAGUAUGGCAGAGGGGGGUAGAAUUCCACGUGUAGCAGUGAAAUGCGUAGAGAUGUGGAGGAAUACCGAUGGCGAAGGCAGCCCCCUGGGCCAAUACUGACGCUCAUGCACGAAAGCGUGGGGAGCAAACAGGAUUAGAUACCCGAGUAGUCCCUGUCUCUUAUAA